CCGAGUGUUGGGGUCUCUCAGGCCCCUUACUCCCACCCCAUGUGUACCUACCUUUCUUCAGUUGCCUUGGCGGGUCCCUCCCUCAGCGGGAGGGGUUCAGCCCGCCAGGGGGACUCCCCUUAAACUCUUUGAACUUGGGUCGUCUGAGAAAGCAAUCAAAUGAAUGA
rnacentral:misc_RNA from 1 species